rnacentral:rRNA from 1 species
AUGAACGCUGGCGGCGUGCCUAAUACAUGCAAGUCGAGCGAACAGAUGAGGAGCUUGCUCCUCUGACGUUAGCGGCGGACGGGUGAGUAACACGUGGAUAACCUACCUAUAAGACUGGGAUAACUUCGGGAAACCGGAGCUAAUACCGGAUAAUAUAUUGAACCGCAUGGUUCAAUAGUGAAAGACGGUUUUGCUGUCACUUAUAGAUGGAUCCGCGCCGCAUUAGCUAGUUGGUAAGGUAACGGCUUACCAAGGCAACGAUGCGUAGCCGACCUGAGAGGGUGAUCGGCCACACUGGAACUGAGACACGGUCCAGACUCCUACGGGAGGCAGCAGUAGGGAAUCUUCCGCAAUGGGCGAAAGCCUGACGGAGCAACGCCGCGUGAGUGAUGAAGGUCUUCGGAUCGUAAAACUCUGUUAUUAGGGAAGAACAAAUGUGUAAGUAACUAUGCACGUCUUGACCGUACCUAAUCAGAAAGCCACGGCUAACUACGUG